rnacentral:rRNA from 1 species
CACCCUACGGGGCGCAGCAGUGGGGAAUAUUGCACAAUGGGGGAAACCCUGAUGCAGCGACGCCGCGUGAGUGAAGAAGUAUUUCGGUAUGUAAAGCUCUAUCAGCAGGGAAGAAAAAAGACGGUACCUGACUAAGAAGCCCCGGCUAACUACGUGCCAGCAGCCGCGGUAAUACGUAGGGGGCAAGCGUUAUCCGGAUUUACUGGGUGUAAAGGGAGCGUAGACGGAGAAGCAAGUCUGGAGUGAAAGCCCGGGGCCCAACCCCGGGACUGCUCUGGAAACUGCGGCGCUGGAGUACGGGAGGG